UAUAAAUAGCUGCUAAGCAGCUGGUCCUCCUCUCACCUCCUGACUCUGUCAGAAUCCCCCACCAGAAGCCCCUGACAGUCAUGCAGCUGGGAGCUCCCCCUUUCUCUUCUUUUCUCCUCUCCACUCUCUACCUCUGACAUGUGGCCGCCAUCUCAACAAUGUCCACUGAAACCACCCAAGGACUGACUUCCAUGGGAGAAGGGGUCAAGCAGGCUGAGAGCUGGAUCUGACCACUGAAGCAAGCUGUCACCCAAAACACAAUGAAAAGAAAAACAACCUGAGGGAUCCAAUAUUUAAUAUGAAGCAACUAAGGAUUACAAACCAGGAGCUGGCUUCUUUAUGCAGUGUUUGAGUCCUUGCUGAUGUCCUUGGACCAGUAGAUCAACUCCUAACAUUAAAGACUGACAAAAUCCAAAUGCUGGACAACAAUUCCAUUGGUGGGCCAGGAAAAGAGGGGCUGGCGGAGUGCAAAAUGGCAGACUCCAGAGAUAGGUAUUGACAGUGACCUUCAAAAUAACAACACAUCUACCAGAUCUCCAUUUUCAGCUGUGAUGGAGGAAGAGAAACUGGAUUUACUAUCUCUUGGGUCUUCACCUAAAGACUCUCCUGAUCCAUGAGUUGGUCUCAGUUCUGGGUGCCUCUCCUGGUAGAAUCAUCUUUACAGAUUGUAGUUUUUUUUUUAAAGACUCAUUUUCCACACAGCAGGCCCCCAAAACUCCAACCCACUACUUCAUUUAGUGUACAACUUAAGAAAUAACUAUUGCAUUGACUCUGAAGUCAAACUUGGCAGCAUUGGACUCAAUGACAGAUGUGCUUGUCACCAGCAUGGUGACUUCCUAAGAGAUUUUCAGAGACUAUGUUGACCUUCUGCUAUUUUCACCUGCUUUAGACUUCAGCUCUGUGCAAAAUACAGAUCAAAUGAAAUGGCAAGAGUACUCGAUGUUGAGUCAGGAGACUUACUGUAGGCUUUGGUCUGUCACGUAGUCUCUCUGGGUUUGUUCUCGUAUUUAUAAAAUGGAGUUGCCCGACUAUGUGAUCUCUAAAACCCCCUUAGUUCUAGAAUUCUAUAAAAAUUUCUGAUAAGAAUACAUCACAGUCACAAAGAAUUAACAAUGCUCCAAGUUAAGGCAUAAUUACACUGGCUCUAAAAUAUAUAGUUAUGCUACUUAAUGUUACAAUGAGAUUUAAUUAACUCUCCUUUCCUACUGCCAGAGCCAUAGUGGAACAAUUGUCUCUGCAAGUCAUACAGAGCAUUGGUGCCUUGGCUGGGUACUCUGGAUCCUAAUUUAUUCUCAUAGCAGCAGGCAAUCACCUUGGAAAGCAGCGAUGUUUGCUUUGCUGGUGAAGGGGGCAGGCAGUUGCACAGAAAAUCUACUUCCACUCUCCCCUAGCAGCCCCAGAACCCUCCCAGAAGAGCUGUGGCACCAGGUGCCAGCUAAGGACUGCGAGAAGGAUUUAGCCCAAUGGAUAAAGUGUGUUCCUCCGGCUGCCUCAGACAGGUGGGUCCAUCUGAAGCAAAUGUUAUGAAAUGGACUUUUUCAUAUAGCCUCGUUGAAAUACCCAAUGCCCCUAGGCCCCUGUAGCCAACAGGGAACUGUCCGACUUACCCAUGAUUUUACUCAUCUUUCAGCUGGAGCAGACCUUCAAACAUAAACCCAAGUCAUCCAGGGCACGGAGUGGAUUUGUGGAGGCUCCCUGGAGGCUGUUGGCUCCAAAUCCCAGGAAUGUGUUAUAUGAAAAAAUAAAUGCCUUUUUUU